GAUACCAUCAAAUUUACGUCAUUCAGAUAAUUCAAAAGUUGAAUGGAAAGGGGGUAAAUGGUUUAAAGUUGAACGUGCGAAUAAGAGGUGUAUUUCCAUCAAAAAAGAUUUUUGGGAACCAUUCAAAACAGUAAUUUUGAAUAAAUCAUUUAAAAAAGACGUCGAUCUUCAUAAUCUUUAUGACUCUAAACUAGCAAUAUCCCGUUCAAAAUACAAUAAUUUGAUUCAUUUUUGUACGUCAGACAUAAUUCCAAAAAAAUACCAUCGAUAUUACAAAAAUCUGUGCUUUGGUGAUGAAGUAGAAGAUAAUGAUGAUAAUGGAGACGGCAUCGGAGUAGUACCUAGCUAAAUUGAUAUUUUUGUUUCUGUAAUAA